UAAAGAUUCAUCGCUGAUAGAUAGGCAUGCGUUCCAUUAGGCAGUUGGCGGGGUAACGGCCCACCAAACCGACGAUGGAUAGGGGUUCUGAGAGGAAGGUCCCCCACAUUGGUACUGAGACACGGACCAAACUCCUACGGGAGGCAGCAGUGAGGAAUAUUGGUCAAUGGGCGUAAGCCUGAACCAGCCAAGUCGCGUGAGGGAUGAAGGUUCUAUGGAUCGUAAACCUCUUUUAUAAGGGAAUAAAGUGCGGGACGUGUCCCGUUUUGUAUGUACCUUAUGAAUAAGGAUCGGCUAACUCCGUGCCAGCAGCCGCGGUAAUACGGAGGAUCCGAGCGUUAUCCGGAUUUAUUGGGUUUAAAGGGUGCGUAGGCGGCCUUUUAAGUCAGCGGUGAAAGUCUGUGGCUCAACCAUAGAAUUGCCGUUGAAACUGGGAGGCUUGAGUAUGUUUGAGGCAGGCGGAAUGCGUGGUGUAGCGGUGAAAUGCUUAGAUAUCACGCAGAACCCCGAUUGCGAAGGCAGCCUGCCAAGCCAUGACUGACGCUGAUGCACGAAAGUGUGGGGAUCAAACAGGAUUAGAUACCCUGGUAGUCCACGCAGUA
rnacentral:rRNA from 1 species